ACUCGUGACGGUGGAUGUCUUGGCUCCAGCAACGAUGAAGAACGCAGCAAAAUGCGAUACGUAGUGCGAAUUGCAGAACCCGUGAAUCAUCAAAUCUUUGAACGCAAGUUGCGCUCGCGGGCAAUCCUGCGAGCAUGUCUGUUUGAGUGUCCGCACAA
rnacentral:rRNA from 1 species